rnacentral:rRNA from 1 species
UACGAAGGGGGCGAGCGUUGUUCGGAUUUACUGGGCGUAAAGGGCGCGCAGGCGGCUCAUUUUGUCAGGCGUGAAAGCCCCGGGCUUAACCUGGGAACUGCGUUUGAUACGGAUGGGCUAGAGUUCGGGAGAGGAGAGUGGAAUUCCCAGUGUAGAGGUGAAAUUCGUAGAUAUUGGGAAGAACACCGGUGGCGAAGGCGGCUCACUGGCCCGAGACUGACGCUGAGGCGCGAAAGCGUGGGGAGCAAACAGG